CGCUCCAGAUAUUCAGCACCACGGCUCAAUGCUACUCUCCUCACCCUCGGCUCAACAUGUUGUUGAUUGACAACAUUUCUGUAGUGCAGAACAGCUUGGCGUAGGUUCUGUAAUGCAGAGCAUCUAUCAAUGACAGCAUCUAAGGCUUCUCGGCAUUCCACCCCAUUCUCAAAUAAUCUUGUUAUCUUCCACAACAAUAGGAUAUCAUCAAUGCCAAAAGCACGACCUUGCUCUGUUCCAGUCCUUACUCUGGUAACACUAGAGGGGGAUGCAGCAGCAUUGCCUCCAGUUUCUUCACCACUUGAGCUGCCACUAUCCACCUCUUCACGGGUCAUAUCAUCAACUAGGACUCUAAUUGGUCGCCCAUAAUCUAUUCUAAGUUUUAGAAGGCAAGCAAUUACAGUGCCAGUGGUUGUUCUUCCCCUCCCCAUCUGGCAAUUGAAAACAAAAGCAGUAUCCUUGGAAGCAGAAGCAAUAUUUGCUGCCAAUGUGUCAAAGUCAGAACUUUUGGGAGCUUUUCCAUCAGUGAUUGGCACACGUGCAUACUUAAUGGGAAGCCCAUCAGCCUCUAGGCAUUUGAAGACCUCAAGUGGGGUCUUAACAGAAUCAGAAUUCACAUGUUCCCAUGCAUCAAAAAUUUGUCCAUCAUCUGUUUCAUGAAUGACCAUUAUAGCACCUCCAUACCGUUCAGCUUCUCGUAAGAUAUCUUCCUUCAAUCGAGCUUCCAUUCUCUCCACUCUCUCACGAUCAAUUCCCGUGUACUCCAGCAUGUUCUUAUAUGGUCUUUCAACUUCACGGAGCACAAAUGGUUUUCUGUUGAUGUAGAUAACAGGUUCUUCUCUCAUAUUGUGCCAAAAAAUAGGGCGACCACCUUUGGAGCUUCCAAUCCUUUGAAUUACAGAAAGAAUACCAUCUAUAGUUGGAUUUGCAACUCCAUAAACAGGAAACCCAGGAACUUCUCUGAAAUUAGGUGCACCCUCCACUCUCUCUGGUAAACUCGGGUUUUGACAACCAGGACAAUGGUCACUCUUUAGAACAGUUUGACUUCCUAGAACCUCCCCAUUUCUUAAAGCAGCAACAACUCCCAUCUCAUGAGGACGGCCAUCAGCAGAUUCAGCAAUUUUCAUCAGAGAUGGCUUCAAACUUGCAUAUCCAAGUGCACCCAUUGGAUCUCUCCUAAGCAACCUACGAAUUAUGCUAUACAGCUCAGGCCGUGCUCUCAUCCAGUCAGCAAAACUGCUAUGGCCAAAAGAACUAGAACGGAGGGCAUCUCUCUCUGAAUGAAUAUAUACAGCAAAGCAUAUCAGAAAGUAAUAUCUUUCCAAGUAUUCCACAAAAAAUGAAAGUGAAGCCGCUCUCUUCAUCUCAUCUGGUUGACGAAGAAUGCUAUUGCGAUAAUUGGCAAUUGCUUCACGCAAGUUCUGCAUGGAGGCACACUUAUCAAUGACUUUAUCCACUUGUCUUUUGCCUUCAACACCACCCUCUAAAACCCUGGUCAAGCUUCUUAUUACUGCAUAUUCUCCUCUACGAAUUGCCUCCUCUGAGUUUGGCAAAUUAUCAGCGACAGUAGAACCAGCGUCAAAAACUCUCCCUAUCGAAUUGGUUCUUGGAAUACCAGAAGCUCCAAUUCGGUUGAGGUAAACCAAAGUCGCAAUGACCAUCCCAGUUGUCGUUCUUCCACGUCCCAUUUGACAAUUAAAUAUGAUUUCUUUAUUCAAGUUUGCGCUAUAAAUUUUAUCAACUAAGAUAUCAAAAUCCUGUUCCUCCGGUGAUUUUUCAUCAGUUAUAGGAACACGUUCAUAGUCAAAAAGGUACCCCUCUAAUUGCAGUUCCUCAUUUGCCUCUAGUGGCGUCUUCACAGAAUCACAUGACACUGGUUCCCAUUGGUCCACCAUCUGACCAUCUGGUAGUUCAUCAGUGACAAGUAUUUUAUUUCCAUAUCUUGCAGCUUCCAUCAGGAUAUCUUCUUUUAAUCGAGCCUCCAUUUGCUCAACCCUAGACCUGUUGAUUCCCGUAUAUUCAAGAUUGGAGAAGGGCCUUUCUACAUCACGCAAGACAAAAGGACGUCCAUUAAUGUACACCACCGGUUCCUCACGAAGAUUAAACCAAAGAACUUGUGCCUGCUUCCCAUCUUUUUGUGCCCCAAUAUGCUUAAGAACGUUACGAAUACCCUCAACUGUUGGAAUUGCAACACCGUGUACAGGCAAUGAAUCAGCCUGACGGUAAUUAGGGGCGCCAUCAAUCUGAGGAGUUAGUCGCUUGUUUUGACAGCCAGGGAAAUGGUCGCUCUUUAGAAUGGUCUUCUUUCCCAGCACUGAUCCACCUCUGAGCUUCAUCACCUGCUCCAAUUCCUUAGGUAUCGACAUGGCUCCUCCUCCUCCUUUUGGUAGUGCCUAGCUUUUUUAAUUUUAAUUUUUUUUAUACUAUCAAUGGAACAAACAAUUACUCACACUAUUAUGCACUGCUAAAAAUUCACAAUUUUCACAAAUCCAAAAUUCACCCACUCUCAGAUUCUACUUUCUUCUGCACUAGCUCAACCUGGAUUUCACUUUAUUUUAUGUGUAUGUCCAGAGGCAAUGCUGCAAGCAAAUUUAUAAUCAAGCAGGCAGAUGAUUGUAAAAAGCUGUAAAAAAGAAUUGUGAUUUGUGAUUGGGUUUGGCCAAAGAAGAACAACAAAUGUUUGCAGGGGAAGAAAAGGGGGGAAAUGUGAUAAAGGGGAGGGAUAAGAGAAAGGGAUAGAGAUAGAGAUAGAGACGGAUGUAUAUUAUAAAGCCCAGCAAGCAACAACUUUUAUUUGGGUCUGGUCUGGAGCUUGGGGGCAUUUGUAUCCAAAAAUAUAAAAUUUUCACUUUGUUUUGUGUGAGAGGUGGUGGGGUAGAGAGGCGCAAACACUGCAGUAAUAUUCCUCCAUCAUCCAGCUCCAGGGUUCAUCAUAAUCGUCUGUACUCUCCUCUCUCUGCUCUCUCCUCUGCCUUGCCUGACAAAGAAACGUGGAAGGCGUGUAGUAUUUAAAUUGAGUUUCGAGUUUUCCUUUUUCG
rnacentral:misc_RNA from 1 species